UGCUUACAUGAAUCCAGCCUAUAGUGAGCAG
rnacentral:piRNA from 1 species